CCCGAUCGCGCCUUGGGGCGGGGCUUGGAGAGCUUCCCGGCCUGCGCAGGGGCUUCUGGGAGAUGUGGUCCAGCCGCCAGGCCUCCGCGCCCGCUUGCGCCCAGACCCCAUCGGCUGGGCCUUCUGGGUCGGCGGUGCGGGUGUAUCGGGCUCAUUGCGUGGAACGAAGGCUGGUGAAGGCCCCGUGGCGGCCUCCAUGCCCGAGACCUCCAGGCGUAGAGAGGAACAAAACAGCUACCUGAGCAUGAAGGCCGCAGGAGGCCCCCCACAUGCAGGAGUUCCGUCUUUCGUGGAGAAAACACCUCCUGAAACUCCCUCUGGAUGUUCCAGGUGGAGCUUGGAGAGGCUGAAGAGAGAUUACCCCAGCAGAGCCACUGGGCUGCGGGGAUUCCCUUCCUAACAGGGCGGGCAGGAUGUGGGACCCCGUUGAAGCUGGAGUGACCUCAGAGGCUAAGGAGAAAGGUGAGAGUUAAAUCACUGCUGAAGCACAUAGUAGGUAUUCAGUGAGUGAUUGGGGGGCUGGGGAGAAAGUAUCAGUGUUGAAAGGCUGUCUGUGAAAGUGCAAAAAGGAAAAAUCUUUCUAAGCAAGGAUGUGUCAGGUAAUGGUAAACGAGAACCAGUGUCACCAACUGAAUAUAACAUACCCCCUUCUCCCUUCUUGGUAACUAAGAUACUGGUCUGUUUCAGUGAGCCAAGUUCAUUUUUCACUGCUUCUUUCUUUUUACCCAGCACUGUCUUCUGAAGACUCUGUCCUUCUUCAGGAAGAGGAGGAAAUGCCCAGAUUACAGGUAAAUUAGAGUCUGCCUUCUCUCCCUGAAAAUAUCACCCACACACCUCAUUUUGGGCUGUUGGGGAAGGAGAGCAAUACAACACAUAUAUUGUGCUGGCUCUGGGCUAGACAUAUGUUACUGCAGUUUCUCAAAAUGUCUGAGCAUUGCUGGUAGGAGUGUAAAAUAGUAUAAUAUACUUUGGAAAACAGUUUUAGAGUUUCUUAUAUAAUUAAGCACACACUUACCAUUGACCCAGAAAUCCCAUGGUAUUUACCCAGAGGAAAUGAAAAUAUAUGUCCACUCAAAAAUCUGUAUGUGACUAGGGGCUUCCCUGGUGGCUCAGUGGUAAAGAAUCCGCCUGCCAAUGCAGGAGACACAGCUUCGAUCCUUUGUCUGGGAAGAUCCUAUGUGCUGCGGAGCAGCCAAGGCUUUGCGCCACAACUUUUGAGCCUGUGCUCUAGAGCUUGGGAACUGCAACUAUUGAGCCUGCUAAAGCCCAUGAGCCCUAGAGCCUGUGCUCUGCAGCAAGAAAAGCCUCCACAAUGAGAGGUCUGCGCACUGCAACUAGACAAGAGCCUACGUGCAGCAACGAAGACCCAGCACAACCAAAAAUAAAUAAAAUUAUAUUUUUAAAAAACUGUAGGUGACUAUUAGCAACUUUGUUUAUAAUAGCCCCAAACCAGAAAUGACCGUCAACUGAUAAGCAGAUAAGCAAAAUGUCUUAAUCCAUAUAAUUAAUAACUAUUCCAUUGAAAAAAAAAAAGAACAAACUGCUGAUACAUGUAACAACUUGAAUAAAUAUCAAAAGCAUUAGGCUGAGAAAGAGAAGCCAGAUAUGAAAGAUAUGCCAGAUAAAACAUAAGGUAAAAGAUAAGCCAGAUAUGUGCUGUGUGCUUCUAAGACAGGGUAGGUGGGACCUGGGGCCCUUUGCUCCAGUGCUGCAAGGCUUACACCUGGACAGAUGUCUCCUUGAGCAACAAAAUGCUAAGAAAAUAUAAGAGACUAAAAAUAACUGCAAUAACUGUGCAUACACAGUUGGGGCAAAUUCUGGACAAAAGAUACAAAAAGGGCAAAAAACCCCAACUGCCAGCUCUGAAGAGCUCGGAGCAAAACCAGGGUGUUGGGAGUGAAAGCAGGUCUUACACACGCCCCUUGCACACAGCACCAACAAAGGGCUAGACAGAACACCUAAGCCAUUUCUCCUGCCCAACCAUUGGACACACCCCUACUCUCAUCCUGUAUAAGGAACCAGCUCGGGGGAGCCAGUGAGCGAGCAAGGGAAGCCUUUACUUGCUUUUAUUCUCUGCUGCUGCAGGGAACCCAAUAAGGCCUUGCUUGAGCUUCUUAUCUAACCUCUUGUCAUUUUCUGUUGAUUGGGAAAGGCCAAGAAUUCUGGUCAGUAUCAAUUCCAUUUAUAUGAAAUUCUAGAACAGGCUAGGUUAAUCUACAGUGACAGCAGAUCAUUGGUUGUUGAGAGCAGGGAGUCAGGGCAGGGAAUCAACUAGGAGCAAACGACACAAGGGAACUUUCUGGAGUGAUGGAAAUGGUCUAUGUCAUGAUUGGUAUGUGAGUUACACAGGGGUAUUCUUUUGUCAAAACUCAUCAACCGGUAUACUUAGGGUUCAUGUUGGUUCACUGGAUAUUAACCUAAAUGAGAAACAAUUUGUGAACAGAAACAACAUAAAAAACAGCUCACCUCUCAAAAAAAAAAAAAAAUCUGUAUGGUAUACAGGAGAUAACUAUUUCAGAGAAGAAGGCAGUUCAAAGAAGGAUUUCUGGGUUUUCUACCCAGAAUCACCUGUUUUUUUGUGCUUCAGCUUUGUGCAAAGGACCAUGUAGUCUGGCUUGAUACUCUGCUUGCCCCCAUGUGCUCCCAUCAUCCCCACUUUGUGAGUUAAUAGCCCUUUGCAAAUCCUCUUUUCCUUAUUCUUUAUUUGGCAGGCUUAACAUUUAGGCCAAAAAUGGACCAGAGACCAGACUGCUGCGGUGUGACACCCUUCUAUUGUCUGAUCCUUGCACCAUCCUUGAUUUCCCCUCAUAGCCAUUCUGUGUCUUCUCUUUAUGCUCUGAACAAACCCCUCCCUAGGAAAGAACCCCUGCUUCCCCAUAAUGAUAGCCACUAUUCUGACUUUUCAUACUGUAGAUUAGUUUAGUAUGAUUUUGAACUUUUUAAAUAGAAGCUGGAUACAUACAGUACUCUUCUCUGCCUGUCUUUUCUCAGUAUUUGUUGUGAGAUUGAUCUGUGUCAUUUCAUGUAUAUAUAGUUUAUUUUCAUUUCUUGUAGAGCAGUAAUUUCCAAAGCUUUUUGGUAUCAGGACCCCUUUACACUUUUGAAAGUGGCUUUUGUUAUGUGGGUUAUCAAUAUUACCAGAUCAGAAGUUCAAACUAACAAAACUUGAAAGUAUUUGUUAAUCCAUUAAAAAAUUAAUCCAUUAUAGUUAAUAUCACAUUUUUAAAAAAAACCCUUAUCUUCCAAACAAAAAAAAUUUUUUUUAAAUGGAAAUGUUUUAUAUUUUUGCUAACAUCUUUAAUGUCUGCCUUAAUAGAAAACAGCUGUAAUCUUAUAUCUGCUUCCUCAGUUUCUUUGUUGCAAGAUUGCACAUCAUGUAGCCUCUGAAAAAUUCUUCUCUUUAACUGUAAUAGAAUGAUAGUGGAUAAGCCCAAUAAUGUCUUAGAAUUAUUACUGAAAAUAAUAUUAACUGUACAGACACCCUUGACAGGAGCUUGGCAACCUUCAUGGGUCCCUGAACCACACUUUGGGAACUGCUACUGAAUAUUAAUCCUUCAUGCGACUGUACUAAGUGUUUGUAUAUCUUUCUACUGUCGAUGUGUGAAUGGGAAUUCGGAGUCCAAAAUAAAUGUUGUUAGUAUAUAAUCAUCAGAGGGAGGUUUCCUAGAUAACAUGUCUCAUUAACCAGAGUCCUUAUUUUAGAUCUUUGACUUGCUCCUUCCCACACGACUGUCCACUCCCUUUUCUUGCCAGCUGGAACUCCCCACUUUCCUCUAUUCACAUUUUUACCAUCCCACAAGGCUAGUACCUGGCUUUCUCCAGGGUACCUGCCCUCAUGGCCCCAGUCUACCCUAGAUUCUUUCUCCAGACCCUUCCCUGACUAAAUCUCAAAAUUGAGAUUUGUUGUGUGGAUAGCACCUCUGGAAUUAUAUAGUCUUUCAUGUACUCUGGUUGAAGUUGACUCUUCUUACCAGAGAAGCUUUAAGGGCUGAAGAGUUUUGUUUUUUCUUUUUGUUAAAUCUGCCUCUUUUAUCUUUUCCAUGUUCUAUAUUAGCAGUCCCCAAUCUUUUUGGCACCAGAGACCUGUUUCAUGGAAGACAGUUUUUCCGUGGACCGGUGUGGGGUGGGGGUGGGGGAUGACUUUAAGAUGGUUCGAGCAAUGUUACAUUUAUUGUACUUUAUUUCUGUUUUUAUUACAUCAGCUCCACCUCAGAUAAUCAGGCAUUAGAUCCCAGAGGUUGGGGACCCCUAUUCUACAUAAUACAAACAGAUGCAUGGUUGUGCGCCUAAGUGAGUCUGACUCAGGACCCUGGAGACUGCCAGGACCACAUAUAGAUGUCAGAAUUCAUAGGUGCUCGUCAGCUGCAUUCCUCUGUGGGAAUGGGUAUACCUGAGGAUAACCACGUUUGUUCUUUUAGGAGCUAGUGACAUUCAAGGAUGUGGCUGUCGACUUUACCGAGGAGGAGUGGGAGCAUCUGGACCCUUCUCAGAGGCACCUGUACCGAGAAGUGAUGUUGGAGAACUUUGGGAAUCUCAUCUCCUUGGGUGAGAAUCACAUCUUCCAGAACCCACCUGAUCUCCUGCUGGUUCAGUUGUAUGGAGUAAAUCCUGAGGGGAUUUGCAUUUAGCGGUCCACAUAUUCCUGAUCCCUUAUUGUAGUGGGUAUCAGAUUUGAGAAAGCAUAAAGAUACCUGAGAUGAAGGCAAGAGAUGCCAGUUCCUAUCCAAAUUAAAGGAGACUAAAGAGAUAAGACAGGGCUUCCAUGGUGACUCAGAUGGUAAAGAAUCUGCCUGCAGUGCAGGAGAUCUGGGUUCGAUACCUGGGUAUCGAAUUUGGGCACAGAAUCAUUACUGCCUGUUCAACCCACUGAGAAUUAUUACUGUUGUAUAUUGCAAAUAGGGCUUCCCACGUGGCACUAGUGGUAAAGAACCCACCUGCCAACGCAGGAGAUGUAAGAGAUGCAGGUUCGAUCGCUGGGUUGAGAAGAUCUCCUGGAGGAGGGCAUAAUCCCAUGGACAGAGGAGCUUGACGGGCUAUGGUUCCAUAGGAUCACAAAGAGUUGGACACAACUAAAGCAACUUAGCACACACACAAAUUGCAAAUAGAUCUCUUCAUUGAAGUUCCCUGGAACUCCUAGAACAAUUUUUUUUUGUUUUGAGAAGCAGAAUAUAUAUUUAUCUGUUUAUUUGUGUGUUU
rnacentral:lncRNA from 1 species